rnacentral:lncRNA from 1 species
AAUCUUCCAUUUCCUGCUAUCUCUUUUCCUUGCAAACCUUCCGUGAAAACCUCUUCAAUCUGGGUGCCUCGGCCAUCUUUCCUCUUGUUCGGGUCUAUUGUAGACUAUUACUGCUCCCUCCAGGUGCUUUUCUUCUCCCCGUUUUAAUGCUUCUUUCGCGAGUUCGUGGGCGCAACCAUUUCCUGAUCUUUGAACAAACUUGAAAUUGAUUUCUUGAAAAUGGUCUUUUUUGCUUUGAAUGCUCUAACAAUCGCCCCAAUAACUGAUUUAUCUGACGCUGCUGAUUUACAUUUUUGAAUGACCAUUCUUGAAUCCCCUACAAUUUCUAUUGAGUUAAAAGUUAAAACCCAUUAAAAUUCCUAAUUUAACGGCUUGUAAACGUGCAUGUGCCUCUGACAUGAACGGGGACGACAUUGCGGUGUGUAGGACUGUCUUCGAGGCUAAAAUCUCGCCCAUCAAUCCCCGAACCACCAGACCCGAAGCCGAUUUGGAAAAUCUUCCGUCGACAGCUGCGUCAAAAUAAAUUGCUACCCUUGUGUUCCCUUCAUGUUGUCUCUGCCUUCUAUCAACAUCUGAGGUAAGCGUUCUUUCCUCCAGCCCAUUUAACUCUGCCAUGUAACUUUGAAUUCGUUUUGAUAAAUCCCUUCCUGUCUGUCGUGGUUUUCCCCUCGUGUAUUAACUGAUUUCUUGAACUCCAGAUUGUCCAUGAUGAAUAAGAUUAGCAGUCAGAACUGCAUGAUGAAUAAAUCUACUU